rnacentral:misc_RNA from 1 species
AAAGUCGUAACAAGGUUUUCGUAGGUGAACCUGCGGAAGGAUCAUUAAAUUAAUAUUUUUUAAUCUAAUAAAAAACUUUCUUUUGAUUUUGUUUUUUUAUCACUGGGACUUUCUUUUCUCUCUCUCUCUCUCCUCUCUCUCGGCUUUAAUUAGUUGAAAAGGGGAGGAGGAGGAAAUGAAAAAAACGGUUUUAAAUAAAACAAUCCCAAUCUUUUUAUUUUUUUUUUGGGGGCCACCUUUAACCAUUAUUUAAAAUAUUUAGUGCUUAUAAACACAUUCUAAAUUUAAUUUUUUAGUCUUAACUAUAAAAUAACUUUCAACAACGGAUCUCUAGGCUCUU